AGGACCUGAGCAAACGCCUUUGUGGCCUCUGCGGUGACUACGACAGGGACGCAGCCAACGACCUCCGAGGACCCGACGGGAAGUUGCUGAGGGACGUGGUGGCAGUGGCCAAGGCUUGGAGAGCACCCGACUUCACCAACUGAUGCAGAAAAAUGGGAUGAUCUGGAGAUCGUCACAGGGAAAAUGAAGGAAACAGCUGGAAAAAAAGGGAGAUUUGGGGUUUUUUUCCCAAAAUUUGAGGGGUUUCCCCCCCAAAAAAAAAUUACAAAAAAAAUAAAGAAGCCACCACGGGG